rnacentral:misc_RNA from 1 species
GCAAGAUUCAUAGCCUUUGUUUCAGAAUAGAAGAACAGAUGAUAAUGCAAUGGAAAGGAAUUACAGCCAUAAAUAGGUUGACAACUCAAGACUCUUAUUCCACAGGUGCAAAACAAGAACAAUAAAAUAAGCAAGAGUUUGGGUCAGGUAUUAGUGAAACAUAGAGUCUAUUCCAUACUGAUGUGCUGCAGAAAUAAUAGCUGGGAGUUGGAGUACACGUACACCAAUGCAUGUGCAUCAAGAUUUGUGAUGAUAGAACUAAAGAUGUAAAACACAAUGAACAUGUUUGUGUUGGAGGAAGAUAAUGGACAUUGUAUAGCAUGAUAAUUUCAAAACUUGACCCUUGUUUGACUAUGAAUAUUUUUCAUAAGAUCUUCCUGGUGAAGGAAUGCUAGAAUUAUUGCCUCAAAAUAGAAUUCUGAAUUUCCUCCAUAAACUGGAAAGAGUGUCG